AAUUUCAUCUCUCACUGGGAGAAAAAGAAUAACAAUACUCAUACUCAUAAUGCUGUGGCUCUUUAGAACCUGUUUAUAUGAAAAUAAUAUAGAUCUUGCCUCUGCAGUUCCCUAAUACCAUUCACUGAUGUUGUUUAUAUUAUUCGUGAUGCUGUUUCAUCCAUUGUGUUGCCUGUGAAUAUUGGUUUCCAAUGACUAAAGGUUUGUUAGUGUGCUUUGUUGAUGGUCAUCACAAAUGCAGGUGUUCCAUGGUGUAGGAAGAAAAAAAUGGGAAUGAUAAUUUCUGGUCAUGUUAAAUUUAUUUUUCAGAAUUUUAUAACUUAGAAACACAUCUUUCAGUUUUACUUUUCUUGAACUCAUUAGAUCAUAUUCACUGCAUUCCUAAAAUGUGAUCCCUUUCAAUGUUGACCUCUCUUCUGUCCCCUAUUCCCCCAUACAGCCACCAGCAGAAAGGAGAGAUGAGUAAGAAUGUUCUCAUUGGCACAAGGAAUGUUUGUCCCUAGAAUGGCACAGCUUAAGACAGAACUAGGAAAUCGCAGAUUUACCACAUUGAUCAGAGGCAGGAGAAGGCUUGAUUGGAAAAGCCCAUUGGUGUUGCUAAUCAACAAUCUAGAAAGCCCUUAGAGGGCAGGCAUAGUUAACCUCAGAAAACUCCGUGACAUUGGCUAGUGUGCUUUGUGGAGGGAGUCAGGUUAGAUCUUGGGACAGCCCACAUACCUAGACAAACUUAGGCUUUCCAGCUUGCACUGGACCAGGGUGGAAAGGAAGGGUAGAUGUCUACCCAAAUGGAAUAUUGAGUAUCAGAGACUUCAAAUGAUAACUUAUUGUUUGUCUGGAGAAAAUCUUGAGGACAUGAUCACUGUACAAAAGCAUGGCAAAAUGAGGAAACCACUGACAGGUGAAGAAUCUGCAUAAUGGAAAACCACCUUGACCAUCUCAUGACUUUAUACAGGAAUCGGAGGUAAGUGUUCCUUUAAAGUGAUUUUGUCAUAAAAGAGUCAUCUGAAAUGACCCUCAUGAUGGAGGUAAGGAAAGUAAUGAAAUCAACAUUCAUGGUUAUUUAAAAUGACUUAAAAGCUAAGCAUAAUAUACAUAGUAACUCCUUUUCCUAGUAUAAAAAUAGUGCCAGAAACUAUAUUUGUUCAAAUAUAUUGAAAAGGUAUAAGAAUACAAAUAGAUAUUAACAGUGGCUAGUGAUGCCUCAUAAGGUUUUCUUUUCUUAAACUGUAAUAUAAAUUUAUAUUUUCAACUAUUUACAUUGCUUUCAACAACAUUCAUUAAGACAUGUUUAUGCAGGCUUUUAGUAAGUAUAUGGAAUGGUAAAGUGAGCUUUAAUACUUUCUUCUUCACUCUCUGUAGUAGAGCAGAAGGGGUCCAAAACCAUGCACAAUUUAACAGUUCAGAAGAACUGUGUAAUCUUUACCUGGCUAGCACAUGGAAAAAAUAAACUAUAUACAAGAAUACAAAACUCCUAAAGUGUUCUUCAACUAUCAACAGGUUAAGUGAUUCAUAUUUGCAAAAAGACAGGAUGUUUGUUCACUGGUAGAUUCUUAGUAAGUUUCAGGUAAAGAACGUGCAUAAAACAUAUGUUAUCGAUGAAAAUGGAAGUGAUGCAGUAUACCCCACGUUCUCACGUUAAAUCGGCAGUAUCAGAAGCUAAGUCUCUUCUCCAGCACCUCCUUCAGGGACCGUGAGCUCCUUGAGGUCACUGCUCUGUCUCCACAGCAGAGCACAGUACCUAACAUGUGGCAGGACUCAAUAAAAGGUGGGUCAAUGUAUUUCUGACACAAAACAAUUAAAUUGUGCCACCUUAUUUUGACUACAGUUGUUCAUAAGAGAGGAUAACGAUGACAUUUUGUAUCCUCUCAUAUUAAAUCAGUCUUGUAAACAAAAGACAAUUGCUUGUGAUGGCCUGUUAAGUUUUAGGAGUACAAUCUGGUGAAAAACACAGAAAAAAACUGUAAAUCAAAUUGGAACAGGUCUAGUAUGUAUUUGCUAUGCUGAAAAUAAAGGCACUUUACUGCUAGGCAAGAAUAUAUCUGUGACUGAACAGUUUUCUCCAAGAAUCCAAUAUUUCCAGUAUAUUUUCAUAUACUUUCUUAUCUCUAAUACUCCUAUUAAAGGAAACUAUUAUUCAAAAUUAAGAGACAGUGGUGACAACAUCAUCAUCCUGGAUUUGUACCUUGAAGCAAUGUACUCGAUGAGCUCUAAAUCUCACAUUCACUAGUGAUCUGCAAGUGAAGCUGAAUAAAUAUAUUCUCUUUGUUCAGUCUUGGAAACUCAACAUUAGAAAUGACACGUGGGAAUAGAUCACCUUCUCUCUAGACUAAUAUCCCAUUUAUGACAGUCGUCUCCACAGCCCAUUGGGGCUUAUAAAGUAGCUGCCUUCUGUGACAUUCUGCUUGAAGACAAAGGCUUUGCCCAAACAUAACUCCUUUUAAAAAAGCACAACUUGUUUAGGCACACAGAGGUAAAGUGACUUACACAAAUCCACCCAGGAUUGUGAUUGGCAUGGUCUAAUCUACUGAAAAAUAUAAGGCCAGGCAAUUAUAUAGAUAUCUUUUAACAAGUUAGUCAAAUAGUGGGGACUUUUCUGACUAAAAAUUGAAAUUAAAUGGUAUGUUACUCUGUUAUAACUAAACAAACAAAAAAUCUAGAACAAGAACUUCUUGCUAGUUAUGGGUAAUGUAAAUACAGAGUAAGGUGAAGGAGGACUGUAUGUAUAUUUUUCCAACUUGAGAAGAUAUUAGAAAGGAAAUUAAAAAUUAUUUGAACCAAUUAACCAGCCCUAAAGAAGUACUCUGCUUUGUAUGAACUAAAAUAUCCAACAAAGAAAUAAAAUAGGCAUUGCCCAGCUUCUUUUAAUGUCUCAACUAGUAAAGUAAAAUAAACAUUAUUCAAAGGCAGACCAAACCAUUUCUAAUCUAAAUAUAUCUUCUUGCUUAUUAAAAUGACACACAUACAAAGCCUCUAAACACGAUCUACCAUGUCUUUAAAAAAUUUCUCAGUGACACAUACUAGAGGGGACCAAACUACUAAAGUAUAAGUACAUAUUUUAGCAUAACUGCUAAAUCACAAUGUAAUAAAAAGGUUUAUUAAAGAUUGCUAUUCUUUAUACAAUUUUUCUAUACUAAGGAUUUAUGUAUGCAUGCAUAAGUAUACACCUGUAUGUAUAUAUAACUAUUAUUUUAGUGAUAGUCUGUGUAUUUUACACACCAGUGCCACCAAGGGGCAACCUUACAAAUUUUAUCUGUAUGGCCAAAAAAAAUAAAAUAUCCUAAAAAUACAAGUAUACAAUACAUUAAACAGUUGGUAACUUCCUAGAUUAACCUUUACCAAAUACAAAAUAAUGGCAAUACAAUGUGUUUUGCUUCUAUUUUUUGUUUUUUUGCCAGAAUGAUAAAAAUAAAACUGCAUUGUCAAGAUAUUUGUACACACUCAGAAUUUUAAAAACUUAAGGAACAUACUGAAUUUUAGGCAAAAUUUAGGGGAAUCGGGACAUAGAUGGAAAACACAUUUUGGCGAAAGGUCCUUGAGAAUGCUGCAUUACUAUGUCCCUAAGAAAUUUUCUAUCCAAAUUAGUGAUAGAAACUCAGAUCAAAUAUCUUUUUUGUGGGUUGGAGGUAGAAGUUAACAAAUCAAGCAAAUCUCUCCUUCUACUCUCCCCAAAUCCAAACAUUCCUGCAUAUUUGAAACAAAUUUUCCUUUCCUAGACCAGUUGCUUAAUUCAUUAUCUACUUUUCCAAUAUUGAGUAAAUGUAUCUUUAGGGGCGCACAUGUAGAAUAUUAAUCCACUUAAAUGGGCUCAAAUUCUAAGAAAAUAUUAACUAUACUAAAUGUUAUGGGAAGAAAAUACAUUGAAUAUGAGUUAAGGGCCAGUGUUUAGCAUUCACAUCCAGAAUUCUCUGGAUCUCAGCUGACUUGUCCUAUACAUCAAAAUAUGGCAAUUUUUCAAUCACAAUACUGCUAAAUGUUAUUCAGGCAUAAAGUUUCUUACCCACUGUUCCCUCAAAUUCAUUUUUGACCCUACUAUUGGCAAUAGCCCUUUGCUAUUUAUAUAAUUAAAACUUUUCUUUAAAUUUCAAUUGACAGGAAAAAGAGUCAUUUUGUACUCUCUUAUCUAGAAUCAUGUCUCACUUCAAGUCAACGCUACAAUUGUCACUUUUAUUUUGAAAAGGAAGCUCAGAAGGAAAAAAACUCUUAGAUCUUCUAACAGAACAUUUUUUCUUCACUGAUAGACAUCCAAGGCCAUUCCAUUUCUAGAUCACACUUAUCCCUCAAUCAAGUCAGUGACUGGAUCAUCUCCUAAGGUUUCACCUGCUUUGCAUCAUCAGUGAGUUGGACUAUGGAUCAGGUACUGUGCUCAGCAUCAGAAAAUGGGAUGACAAUGAACAGAGUAACACGAGUAUAUUUGUGAAAAAGGAUGAACUUACUGGAAACAGGAUUGCGUGCCUGAAAUAGACCCAAAUGGAUAUAAAUGUCUGAACUCAGUUCUGGGCUGGAGAUAUAGACUUGGAAUGCACCAACAUGCAGAUGGCAAUCCUGGCAUGCCAGUAGGUGAGAUCAUCCAGAGGAAUGGCCUAUAAUGAGAGCCUAUAACAUGUCAGAUCAGGACAUAACGGUAAAGAGAAAUUAGACAGAGGCCCAGACAGAGGCCCAGUUCUCCAACAGAGUGCUAUGUAGCUUCCACUAAGACCAAAAGCCUCCUUCUACUGAGCACUUAAUAAGGAAUCAGUUGUCCUUUGUCAUUCAGAAUGGGAUCACCACAAAUGUCACUUAACAACAGGAAAAGCUGAAAUGCCUCAAUAAAUUAAUAAUCUGUCCACCUAUAGGCUCAAGCACCUCUUACUGCCUCCUCACUCUGGAACCAAAUGCCAUACUGUCUGCACUGCUCCCCAUUGCCUUCCCUCCUGCCUCACCAGUUGAUCCCUAUACCUCCUUCACAAUGAGCUCCAGGAGGCCUCUAACUUACAGGUGAGGCAGGCAUUUUUCUAUUCCCUUAACAUGACCAGUUGGUGUAUCAUGGUAAAUUUUAUUUCUAUCUCUCUUUCUAGACUGUCACUAUCUCAGGCUUAGAGUUUUAUUUAUUUUUUUCAGCUCCACUUCUUCAGCUGGCAAAACGCCUAGCAUAUAGUAGGAACUAAAAAAAUGUUUUCCGAAUUAAUGAAAGAAUGCAGAAUUGCAGCUCUGACUGUAACUAGUUUCCCAUGAAGACUAUAAUAGUCUAUUCUUUAUUUUUCCUAGAACACAAAAGGAUUUCAUAGAGUCUGGAAGACGGUUGCACAUUAAGCCCCUUUACCACCAUCAAUGUUCACUUUCUUUACUUUUCAUCCUAUAAAUGAUCUGGACUCUCCUUUUUGCUCUUUUUGUUUGUUUAUCUACUUUAAACAGUAAAGACAUCUACAUGCUUAUCUAUUUGCAUUAGUGCUGCAGAAGUUACUUUAUCAAUUAUUCCAUAGUCGAGGGAAACUUUAAACAAGAUAUAAUGAAUUUGGGCACUGCAAGUAAAAGCCAUAUACUAAAUGGCAAUCAGCAUUCAUUAUCUUAAAUGUAUAUAUCCUGUGUGUGGCAAAAAACAAGAACAACAAAAAGCAAAAAACAAACCAAGGGUUAUGUCCUUCAACCUUUGUGGAUCCCCAAAAUAUAAAUAUGGAACUGUUUAUACAGGCUUCUGUCUCCCAAAUCAUAUUUUCUUGAGAGUCACGUUUCAUGCCCUUAUCCUCACAUCACAAUGGAAUUGCCUUUCAGUUUUACUAAAGUUUUCUCCUACUUGAUAGCCUUUUUCAUAAACAAGAUUUUAAAAAUUACUUCUUAAGAAUUACUACACGUAUAGCAAGAAAAGUACAACACAGAGGGGUUGAGAUGUGAAUAGCAGGCAAUCUGCGAGGCUUAUGACCUAGCUAAGUAUCUCUCCAAUGCAGCAGUUCAAAUCUAUGCCUUGGUCAAAAUUCACUGAAUGAAUAUAUUAAGAGUCAUUAAAUUAUACCUUUGGAAUUGCCCGCAAGUCCUUUAAAUGGAAUGUUAUGUGUAGAAAUAUCAAGGUUCUGCUAUAACAAAUACAGCUCAGAGCAGAACAUCUGAAGUAUAUCCAUGUUAUGAUCUACCAUUAUAGAUAUAGAUCCAUAGACACAGAGUUAAGCUCUGGGGAAAACAACAACAACAACAAAAACGGGUACUGAAGACAAAUCAUCCAUCUAGGCAUAUAAAUUAAUUCUCUUUUCAAAGUGAAAUGAACAGCCAUAUUUAAAUAGCAUUCAUGAUAAUCCCAUUGAUCUCUUUACACUCUUUGGAAAGUUUAAUUCUAUCAAGCAAAAAUACCCAUGUUAAAACAAAAAGUUAUCAAGAAAAAGAGGGCUUAUAACAAAUGGGGUUCCCUGUUUAAGAAAACUAAAAACCGGCUCACGCCUGCAAUCCUAGCACUUUGGGAGGCUGAGGCGGGCGGAUCACGAGGUCAGGAGAUCGAGACCAUCCUGGCUAACACGGUGAAACCCCGUCUCUACUAAAAAUACAAAAAAUUAGCCGGGCGAGGUGGUGGGCGCCUGUGGUCCCAGCUACUGGGGAGGCUGAAGCAGGAGAAUGGCGUGAACCCUGAGGGGCGGAGCCUGCAGUGAGCAGAGAUCGCACCACUGCACUCCAGCCUGGCCGACAGAGCCAGACUCCAUCUCAAAAAAAAAAAAAAAAAAAAAAAAAAAAAAAAGAAAACUAAAAACUAGGGCACAUUUACAGAUAAGAGUGUUCACAACUUCUUCCUUAAAGAUCUGAAAGAGUAAGGAGUACAAUAAUGAAAUUUAAAACUGAAAUUUGAGAUGCCACAUUACUCAUAAACUAUACAAAGUCAAAUCAUUUACAUUUAAAAAUGAAAUGUUUAAUGCAAAACUAAAAAUAAAAGAGAACCAUUCAGCAAAAACUCAUUAAUAAGUGCAAUCAUAAAAUAAAACAACAUUCAAAAACAUAUUGGAGAAAACCAAGAAGUAGUGAAGUUAGACAGCAAACUAUCAGUGUUACGUAAUAUUAUUAUAGAGUUCAUGAAGUACUCAGAAUGUGGUCAUUAUAGUAGGUCUGAGAGUUGGUUAGCAUUGAAGGCACCUCUGGAAAUUAUGCUGAAGGGACUAGAUGGCUUCUAAAAUUAAACAGUUAUAUUUUCUUUUCCAUAAUUCCAGGGAUCCGAUGUUGUUACCAACCACAGUCUUCCUCCUGGCUCUUUGGCAGAACAGGGGGUAAAUGCUUAUACCCUGCUUGCAGUCUUAUGUCCUCUUUGCCACAUAACAUGGACUCCAAAAUUAGCAUCCUGCCUUAUUAAAAUGUAAAACGAACCUUUAUCAUCUAUCUUGCAAAUACUUUUGUUUUUGCACUUUUCAUUUGUCAAUCAUCUUAAUUUAGAGAGGCUUUUGCUGUAUAAAAGAUUUAAUUUUUUAAGGAGCCAAAAUAAUUAUCCUUACGAUAUUCAACUAUAGUGCCUUGCUUUUAAAAGAGGCUUCCUCAUUUUAUUAUUAUAUAUAAACCUAUAUUUUCCCUAGUACUUUUAUAGAUGUAUUACAUUUAAUCUUAUAAUCCAACUUAAUUUUUCCCCUAACUGCUAUUGGAGUCUUAUAACAUCUGAAUAGUUAUCCAUUCUCUGAUGAUCUGAAUUGUCACCAUAUACUAAAUUCAUGUUUGUUUCAACUAUUACUUACUUUUUCCACAUUUUAAUAUUUUUGAAAUCAGUAUGCAUGUUAUGAUCAAUAGCUUGACAGAGUAAAUUGAAAUCAUAUUUUACUUUCUUGGAGAUACAUAAAAUGUUGUAUUUCAUUCAAAAGUAUCUUACUUAAAAAUAAUGAAAUAUACCCUACUCUGUUAUAUACAAUAAUACAAUUAUAUAUGCCAGAUUAUGGGUCUACAUUUAGACUUUCUGUUCUGUUUCAUCAAUCUUGGCAUGUCUUUUAGCACCUAUACCAUACUUUUAAUUAUUUUACUUGUAUAUCAUUUUAAUUUCUGAAUUAAAUCUAAAUUUAAUUUCUGAAAGGGCAAUAACCAUCAGCUAUGAUUCUUUUUUACACCUCUAGUUGUAAGUAUUAUCAAUGUUUGUAAAUGUUGAUCAGGAACAACCUCCCCACCCCCACCCAAAUCUCACAAGGAUACAUAAUAAAAUUGAUGCAAAUCUAAUCUGGGGAGACUUGAUAUCUCGUAAACUAGAUUUCAAUCAUUUCAGAAAUGUAUUCACUUCUUAAUGAUUUUUAAGUCACUCAGAAUUUUGUAGCUUUCCUCAUAUAGAUGGCAUAUAUUUCUGGCCAAGUUUAUUCUUUGUUACUAUAGUAAAUGGGUUUUUUUUUCCAUUGUUUUCUAACAAAUUUGUCUUGGCAUAUAUUAAAGUUAUUUCUCUUUAAUAAUUUGAUAAUUAGGCUUCUUAUAAAACUCUUACUAGACAGGUACUUUCAGCUAAUUCUUUUUGGGUUUUCCAUUUAACACUAAUAUAAUUUGUAAGUUAUUUUAUUUUGCCUCCUUUUUUUCUGUGUCUCAUCUUAUUUCAACAUUGCCUCCCUUCUGAUUGCUUUGGUUAGAAUUUCCUUGGGCAAUAGUUUGUUUUUUUUUUUUAAUAACAAAUUCUUUCUCAGUUACUCCCAUGAACAAUUCUAAAAUCUUCUUGAGUUAGUAUUGGUUAUUACCAAUUUUUAUAGAAAUUCUCCAUUUCUCCAAAUGUUAAGCCCUAUUUGCUACACUGUAAUAUCAAGUAUCUUUUAAAAUGUCUUUGGUAUCUGUAGUUACAUUCCCUCUCUCAUUACUAUUUGCGUUUCUCUCUUAAUAUCCUCAUUAUCUGUUGGAGGUUUGUCUAUUAUUAUUGUGUUUGCCCACUAUCUCUUGUUUAUUUCUUCUCAUUUCAUAAGUUUGUUUUUUCAAUUUUUUCUUCUACUUUCUUUCUUCUCAUGUAUAUAUUUAUUUGGGGAAGGCAGCAGAGUGAGAAAGAGAAAGGUGCUGUUUUUCUAAUUUCAACGGUUGAAUGCUUAGUUAAAAUGUUUUCAUUAUUUCUUAAUAAUAAUAAAAUAUUUAAAGCUACAUAAUUUCCUCUGAGUAUAGCUUUGACAAUGUACCUUCAGUUUUUACGUUAUGUUGAUAGAACAAUUACUUUUCUAAAAUGCUGUAAUUUAAUUAUGACUUUUGAUUUCUUCUUUGUCAUUUAGGAGAAUGCUUUUCAGGUUCUAAGUGAGUAUUUUCCUUGCAAUUUAUCUUUUUAUUAUAUAUUAACAGUUUUAAUGCACUGUGAUCUAUGAAAGUGGCCAACAAUUCUGCUUUUCAGAAACGACUGACUUUGUGUUGCAUAUCAUCAAUAUUUGAUUUCUGACAUAUAUUUGAGAAUAAUUUAUAUUUUUAAAUUCUGAAACAUGAAAGUAAAGCUAUAUAUGUCAAUUAAAUCCACUUAAUUUUUAUCAAUUCUAAUGUUUCUUUAUUUUUUCCUAUAUUUUAACACUGACAAGUAUAUUUCAGGCCCACUGUGAUGAUCAUUUUGUCCAUUUCUCCGUGUAUUUUUAACAGCUUUAGUUUUUGUAUGUCAAUGAUGCUAUUUAGUUUAUUAGCAUUCACGGCAAUUACAUUUUCCUCUGUGAGUUUUAAUUUUACUCAAUGAAAGGUGAUUCUUUACAUUACGUUUUACCGUAUAUUCUACUUUGUUGGAUAGAAAUAUUGUUAUCCUUAUUCAAUUUUUGCCCAUGUUGUAUAAAAUGUGUCUUUAUAAAUGACGUAUACUUCACAGGUUCCAGGAAUUCCUUAGUGUUUCUGAUCCACUAAAGACUACUUCUCUGUUUUCUAGUGCUACUAAAAAAUUUUCCUUAUUUUUGUCUUUCUUCAGUCAAUUAUUAAAUCUGUAAUCCUUACAUUGUUUUUAUUAUGUAGAUCUUCACUUCUGUAAUUCUAAACUAUAAUAUCUUAAUUCUAUUUUUUUCUAGUUUUCUUCCACCUAUUACUGCCCUUACACCCUACAGUCUUAUUUCCUUGUGCUUAUUAUAACUAAGCAUAAUUUACAAUUCUCUAAUUGGGAAAUAACCUGGAUACUUUAAGUAAUACAAGCAAUGUAUACCAUGGAAGACAAUGUACAAUUAUAAACAAAUGAAUAGUGAUAUUGCCAAGUGAUAAAAUCUAAUAUGAAAAGUAAAAUGAAGUAGUAGUCAAACUUAAGCUGAUAUAACAUUAGAAUACUUAUUUAUGCCUUGGAAUUCUACUGCAACACACAGAUGAGCAGGUUAUCUCUCCACGUAUUCACCUAUUUAAAGGUCCACCCCUGAGCAACUUAUUAAAUAAAGCCAAAAUAAAUUAACAGAGUAAGAUAAGAUGAUGUGGUAGUGACAAUCAAUGAUUCAAAAAUUUAUUAAGCCCUACUCAAAAAAUCUCUGCAGGCAUGCAGGUCUCCCAAAUUUUAUUGAUAGAAAGGAACUAAAAUGAGGUGCCAUUUGGAGCAUCGGAAUGAUGUAGGUGUUUAGCCAGUUCAAAUAGGCUAACAGAACAAGUUUGAAAGUGUAAGAGACUUAGAAAAUUCAUUGUGGAAGGAAAAAACAGAACCUUCUUACAGUGUACAUGAGAAAGGAUUAAGAUAGUAACCAGUUGACAAAUACAUAUUUCUUUGUCAUAUUUCUCUGUCAAACAAUGUGUGGUACAGCACUGUAAUUUUUAUUUUUAUGCUUUUAUUUAUUAACAAGGAGAUGAAAAAGCAAGCUAUUUAAAGUGGAGAUGUUCUAAGUAUCUUUUUUUAAAAAAAUUUUUCAAUGGGAAUAGGACUAAUUUCUGCAAAAUUUAUCCUGAAAUUGGUAUGGAAAAAAUAGGCAUAAAAAUGUCUGGUAAAUAUGAUAUUGGAAAAAGGCAUUUAGCAUAAUAAGCAGGGAAAACAAUUAGUUAAAAUAAAUGAACGUUCAAUGAGAAAUAUAUUUCCUUAAAAGUACUGGAAGCAAAGUAGUGGAAACACUUGUGUAUUAGCCAGAGCACUAAGAAAACAUUUGAUAGGAAACAAUACCUCAGGGAAUAAAUGUGAUGAGACAGCAGGCCCCAUACUGGUGUAAUGUCUAUAAUUCCAUCUAAAUGUCAGUAAUGGAAAAAAUGAGAGGAAGGAAGAAGAUUACAAAAAACACAUGUGUCCGUCUGUCUUUCUGCACGUAACUCUAUAGGGAUUCUCUAUUAGAAUUACAUAAUAGUGGAAUCUGGUCUAUGACAUGUAAGACAAAUUAUCCACACCAUGACAUUUUCCAUGCUACAACUGUAGGUACAUAAGUAUAGUCCAGAAAUCAAAUUCUUAGUUUUGUCACCCUUGUAAAGCAGCAGGAACACUGGAAAUUUUCCCCCUUAUAUUUGGGAUCUACUUGAGAACCUCCCUUCACCCCACACAAAACCUGACUAGAGAAAUCAUUUCUUUCUCCUUUCUUUUUAUGUACAAAGAAUUUUUCUCUCCAAAAUCUACAUUUGCCUACUUUUGGCUCUGUCAUCAAGUAGGGUGAUACAAAAUACAUGCCAAGAGAAGUCUGAUUGUUUCAUUUUUUAUUUUUUUGCUUACUUGUCUGACACAGUGACAGGAUCACAGAAUGUGAAUUUUGAACAGAUCUGAAAAGUUAUUAAGUUCAACUCCACAGAGGUGAGUAAUGUGCCCAUAAGUGUGGUUGAAGAUGAGUGGCGCUAACACAAUGCUAUGAGUCCGACCCCCAGUCCAGCGCUCUUUCCAUGUCGUCUAACUCGCUCUUAUUUACUUUCACAUAAAGUGACAAAGGGGCCUGAUGCCUAACUUCCUCCAGCCACUCCCCAUUCCCAGUUACUAUUCCAAAGAAAUGUUGCUGGGGAAAAGUGAAGAUGUGACUUGAUGGGGCAAGCUGCCACUCUGCCUUCCUUCCUAUGACAACUUACUAGUAAAUAAUACAUUCCUUCUGGAAUUUAAUUUCACAUUUUCAAAGGCCAAAGACAGCUUGCAGUAAAUCUUUAUACUUAUAAAAAAGCAUUUUAAACAGCAUAACAUUUAUAAUAUAGUUUUCCCCUUGAACUCCCUAAGAAAUAAAAUUUUAUAACAUUUACUUGGUAUCAUAUUGUAAGGCACCCUUGGCAGUUUUCUUUUAUUGCUCAUGUUAGAGAUCUGAUCAGUGACAAUCUUUAAAAAAGAUCUCACAGAUUCAUUAGCCUCCACUUUUUUCUCUGAGAACUGUAGAAGAGUUGACUCAACAGCCCAGCAGGGGGUUGGCACGCUGGUUUCUAAGCGGCUUUAAUGCACAAUUCACCAGGGUCAGGAGCUGACCCUCAACCUUGUAGCUUAGGCACUAGAUUAGCAUACUGAAGACUGCUGGGGUGGAGUCACAGUAACUAAGUUGACAAGACUGAUUUAUAAAACCAGAAUAGUAUCAAUGUUCAAAAAGAAACAGAUCUGUCCCAGAAACAGAAGUAUAAGCACCUGCAGCUCCAGCCCAUUGCCUCAAGUCCAGUUCAUACAGUAAGAAACAACUUUCAGGGCAACCAGUAUAUUUGAGAGGACAUGAAUAAUGCAUUCUCUUCCCAUAAGCUAACCUACACUGGAAAAGAAAGUAAUCAGUACAAGUUGGAUUGGUGGGACUGGAAUCAGAACAAGGGAAAUUAGAGUCAGAGAAUGUUGAAUUGUGCUAAGCUGAUGUAUUCCUUUGACAAUAAGCAUGCAUUCUAGGCAGAGGGACUGGGAAUUGGAAAGAUAUUACUGGCUAUAAUCUGAUGCAUCCAUUGCACCUAGUGAAGGCUCACCAUAUGGUCAGAAUACUCGAUGCACACUGAUACAACUCUCUACAUCCGUCUCUGUGUUAGGGACAAAUGUUACUUUACUCUUGCACAGAACUUGGACAGUCACUUUUAAUAUCUGUCUUUUCUUUUUCUAUUUUCAUUACUGAUACCUUCUGCCCCUUCUUUCUGACUAAAACUCUCAUUCAAUAAAAUUACAGUCAAAUCUUGCAACUGGAAAAGUAUUCAGACUUUUAAAGUUAUAUUUAUAUAUCUAAAUGUUGCUCCAUUAGGGUUUUAAUUCUAAAUUUAACCUUUAAAAAGUUAUCAUAUUUUCUUUACUUCCAAGUUCCUAGGAGAAUGUUAACAGUCCAGACCUUUUUCACUACAUCAACCAUGGAUGAUUGGCAUAUAAAAUCCUACUUAACCUUUACAUAACUGCAAUACCAGGAAACAAAUAUGUCAAUAAAAGGAAACAUCAUUCAAUUUUUCUGAGAAUGCAUUCUUCCAUCAUUCCUGAAGUAGAGGUUUUUCUAUAAUCAUGUUAAGAACAUAAGCUCCUGAGGGCAGGAAUUUCUGCUUUGUUCAUCAAUUUAUCCCAACUGCCAAGAACAGUGGAGUGCUCAAUAAAUAUUAAAUGAAUAAAUAAAUAUAACCUAUAAUCUAAACUACAUUCUUAAAAAAAGUCAACAUCCAGGAAAUAAGACUCUAAAACAAUACACAUUAUCUACUUAAUAUCUCUUAUACAGUCUACUAAAUUCAAUACAUCAUCAAUCAUUUUUAAAAAAUUCUGCUGAAAUAGGAUAAUAAUUACAA